AUACUCUGUCUUCUUCUUUCAGUUUCUGUCGUUUCUCUUUCUGUUCUAGGGUUGUUAAUGGACUAGUAGCAGACUCCAUAGCAAAAGCCCAACUUUGUAUCUUGAACCCUCCUUCGGGCCCCUUUUAAUUUAUCUAAUGAAUGUCUGGUUGCGCAAAAAAAGAUUAUUAGCCUAAUAGUUAUACUUAUCUCAGAAUGACAGUUAGUGACUUCAUCAAUAUUUGUUCAAAUGAAUGAGAUGUGGAGAUGCUAGAAUAUUUUGCAU
rnacentral:lncRNA from 1 species